rnacentral:rRNA from 1 species
AUUGAACGCUGGCGGCAGGCUUAACACAUGCAAGUCGAGCGGGGUGAUGGUGCUUGCACUAUCACUUAGCGGCGGACGGGUGAGUAAUGCUUAGGAAUCUGCCUAUUAGUGGGGGACAACAUCUCGAAAGGGAUGCUAAUACCGCAUACGUCCUACGGGAGAAAGCAGGGGAUCACUUGUGACCUUGCGCUAAUAGAUGAGCCUAAGUCGGAUUAGCUAGUUGGUGGGGUAAAGGCCUACCAAGGCGACGAUCUGUAGCGGGGCUGAGAGGAUGAUCCGCCAGACUUGGACUGAGACACGGCCCAGACUCCUACGGGGGGCAGCAGUGGGGAAUAUUGGACAAUGGGGGGAACCCUGAUCCAGCCAUGCCGCGUGUGUGAAGAAGGCCUUAUGGUUGUAAAGCACUUUAAGCGAGGAGGAGGCUCUUUUGGUUAAUACCCAAGAUGAGUGGACGUUACUCGCAGAAUAAGCACCGGCUAACUCUGUGCCAGCAGCCGCCGUAA